AUACGUAGGGGGCGAGCGUUGUCCGGAAUGAUUGGGCGUAAAGGGCGCGUAGGCGGCGCGGUAAGUCUGGAGUGAAAGUCCUGCUUUCAAGGUGGGAAUUGCUUUGGAUACUGCCGCGCUUGAGUGCAGGAGAGGGUAUCGGAAUUCCCGGUGUAGCGGUGAAAUGCGUAGAGAUCGGGAGGAACACCAGUGGCGAAGGCGGGUAACUGGACUGCAACUGACGCUGAGGCGCGAAAGUGUGGGGAGCAAACAGGAUUAGAUACCCUGGUAGUCCACACUGUAAACGAUGAAUGCUAGGUGUAAGAGGUAUCGACCCCUUUUGUGCCGGAGUCAACACAAUAAGCAUUCCGCCUGGGGAGUACGGCCGCAAGGUUGAAACUCAAAUGAAUCGACGGGG
rnacentral:rRNA from 1 species